rnacentral:lncRNA from 1 species
CUUAAACCUCUUUCUACUUCAACUGUAAGAUAAGGAUAAUAAUAGUAACUCUUUCCAAGAUUAUUGUGAAAAUCAAAUAAAAUAAUGUUUGUAAAGAACUUUGUGCAGUGGUUGGCAUGUAUUAGUCUCUAAUAAUUUCUUUCUUUCUCUCUCUCCUUCCUUCUUUGUUAAUUUUAGUAUUUAGAAACCUACAUCCACAACAGAGGAGAAAUAUCUUUAAUGCUUAUGUCCCUAGCAUCUUCCGUUAAAUGAAAUGAUGGAUCUCUUUCUGGUCAAAGUAAAUAUAUAUGAGGAAAAUGAAGCAGUACAAUGAGGAACAGAGGAAGUUUGGGAAAAAAUGCUGGUGCCAACAGUUCCCAGGAGUUUUAUCUCCAACCUUUCCAAGACAGGAGUGCAAGCUGGAAUGGUGCCAGCCUGAAGUUAGAUCAAGUGAUUUGGGCAACUUGAAAUGCAAAAUCUCUGACCUCAAGCUCACCAUAACCUUCGAAUGAUAAGCUAAGUUGGUAUAGCUCAAGGAGAGACUCUACACUGGAAGCUACUGAAUUUUCUAACAGUUUGUGUCAUUCAAAAUUAAUCCAUUAUUUAUGUUGUUCACUCAUAUUUCAUUCAUGUCCAACUCUUCAUGACUACAUUUGGAGUUUUCUUAGCAAGAUACUGAAGUGAGUUGCUAUUUCUUUUUGUAGCUCCUUUAUAUAUGAGGAAAUGGAG